GAUGGAGCAACGCCGCGUGAGUGAAGAAGGGUUUCGGCUCGUAAAACUCUGUUGUUAAAGAAGAACAUAUCUGAGAGUAACUGUUCAGGUAUUGACGGUAUUUAACCAGAAAGCCACGGCUAACUACGUGCCAGCAGCCGCGGUAAUACGUAGGUGGCAAGCGUUGUCCGGAUUUAUUGGGCGUAAAGCGAGCGCAGGCGGUUUUUUAAGUCUGAUGUGAAAACUUCGGCGUCAACCGAAGAAGUGCAUCGGAAACUGGGAAACUUGAGUGCAGAAGAGGACAGUGGAACUCCAUGUGUAGCGGUGAAAUGCGUAGAUAUAUGGAAGAACAGCCAGUGGCGAAGGCGGCUGUCUGGUCUGUAACUGACGCUGAGGCUCGAAAGUAUGGGUAGCAAACAGGAUUAGAUACCCUGGUAGUCCCAUACGCGUGAAACGAUGAAUGCUAAGUGUUGGAGGGUUUCCGCCCUUCAGUGCUGCACUAACGCAUUAAGCAUUCCGCCUGGGCAGUACGG
rnacentral:rRNA from 1 species